rnacentral:rRNA from 1 species
UGGGGGAUAUUGCACAAUGGGCGAAAGCCUGAUGCAGCGACGCCGCGUGGGGGAUGAAGGCCUUCGGGUUGUAAACUUCUUUUGCUCUGAACAAGGCGCACCAUGGGGUGUGUUGAGUGUAGGGGUUGAUUAGCGCCGGCUAACUACGUGCCAGCAGCCGCGGUAAUACGUAGGGCGCGAGCGUUGUCCGGAAUUAUUGGGCGUAAAGGGCUUGUAGGUGGCUGGUUGCGUCUGUCGUGAAAGCUCAUGGCUUAACUGUGGGUUUGCGUUGGGUACGGGCUGGCUUGAGUGCAGUAGGGGAGGCUGGAAUUCCUGGUGUAGCGGUGGAAUGCGCAGAUAUCAGGAGGAAUACCGGUGGCGAAGGCGGGUCUCUGGGAUGUUACUGACACUGAGGAGCGAAAGCAUGGGGAGCGAACAGG